rnacentral:rRNA from 1 species
GACGAACGCUGGCGGCGUGCUUAACACAUGCAAGUCGAACGGAAAGGCGCGGCUUUUGUGGGGUUCUCGAGUGGCGAACGGGUGAGUAACACGUGAGUAACCUGCCCUUGACUUUGGGAUAACUCCAGGAAACUGGGGCUAAUACCGGAUAGGAGCUCCUGCUGCAUGGUGGGGGUUGGAAAGUUUCGGCGGUUGGGGAUGGACUCGCGGCUUAUCAGCUUGUUGGUGGGGUAGUGGCUUACCAAGGCUUUGACGGGUAGCCGGCCUUAGAGGGCGACCGGCCACAUUGGUACUGCGAUACGGCCCAGACUCCUACGGGAGGCAGCAGUGGGGAAUAUUGCACAAUGGGCGGAAGCCUGAUGCAGCAACGCCGCGUGCGGGAUGACGGCCUUCGGGUUGUAAACCGCUUUCGCCUGUGACGAAGCGUUAGUGACGGUAAUGGGUAAAGAAGCACCGGCUAACUACGUG